UAGGGGAGUGUCCACCAGGUGGAAGACCUGCAUAAAUACCGGGCAGGUAGCCCCAUGCCCGGUAUUUAUGCAGGUCUUCCACCUGCUUGACCCUCAA